rnacentral:rRNA from 1 species
CCUACGGGGGACAGCAGUGGGGGAUAUUGCACAAUGGGGGAAACCCUGAUGCAGCGACGCCGCGUGGGCGAAGAAGUAUUUCGGGAUGUAAAGCCCUAUCAGCAGGGAAGAAGAAAUGACGGUACCUGAGUAAGAAGCACCGGCUAAAUACGUGCCAGCAGCCGCGGUAAAAAGUAUGGUGCAAGCGUUAUCCGGAUUUACUGGGGGUAAAGGGAGCGCAGGCGGCACGGCAAGCCUGAUGUGAAAGCCCGCGGCCGAACCGCGGGACUGCAUUGGGAACUACCGGGCUGGAGUGCCGGAGAGGUAGGCGGAAUGCGUGGUGUAGCGGUGAAAUGCGUAGAUAUUAGGAGGAACACCAGUGGCGAAGGCGGCCUACUGGACGGUGACUGACGCUGAGGCUCGAAAGCGUGGGGAGCGAACAGGAUUAGAUACCCGGGUAGUC